CAAGACUCAAAUCUGCUUCUUAUUGACUAUGAAGUAUUAAUCCUCUUGUUUCUCAACUUCAAUAUCUAUAAAAUGGGAAUAAUAACUGUACCUGGUUACCCAAUAAGAUAGUUGUGAGGAUUAAAGGCAUUAAUAUAUUUAAAGCACUUUGAAAAUGCUAGGCCCAUAGCAAAUUCUUAUUAAUUGUUAGUUGUUGUUGUUGUUGUUGUUAUCUAGCUGUGGACAAUGAAGAAAUAUAAAUCAUAGUAAAGAUGUUCAGGAAAGGAGAACAAAAAGUCAUGAUGAGAAGUGAAGAAAAAUGUCAGUGGUGCUCAGCAAAUACUGACUGAGAUAUAGUAAAUUGUGGAACAGAGUGCCCAAGGAUGAGGUAGGAUCUGUGCUGAUGUAACAUAAGCUCAGGGAAAAUAUGUAGAGUAUGCUAUAGGAAGUGUUCUUAUGCUUGUGAAGUUAUGAACGAAGUGGCCUAAUAAGGCAUUUUUCACCUUGAAUUUCUCUGAUGACUGGUUUAGAAAGCUAGAGAGACUGAAAGAUUGUUCUUUUCAGAGAGGGAACUACUUUAAGCAUUUAUGUCAGGUAAGUGUGUCCUGAUUUAGGCAGAAAUGUGGUUCUAAGUUCAGUGUUGUCAUCUGUCAUUGCUUAUAAAGGUAAGGUCUAUUCGGUUUCCAAAGUCAAAUGCAAAGCGGAGGCAAACACCUGGCUGAUUUGGACCAAAAUGUCUAGCAAAAUGAGAGGGAGGAAGCUUUUACAUUUAAAUUAUCUUGAAAAUUAUUUUAUUUCCCACCCUUGUUUUGCAUGUUAUAAACAUUCCUGACUUCUAUGCAUUUUGUAUAAAAAGUUUAUAAAUUGAGGACUUUUUGACAUGCCCUAAUGAAGGAUGUUUCUCUACUCUGACAUUUCUUGGCAUCACUUUGAAUACAUCAGACAACACAGAUGCCAGGAACAUAUUCAGAUAAGUAGCCUCUACUUUCAAGUUUGUUUUUCCUUAGCCAGAGGUAGGUAACUUAGGUUCAUUGGUAGAAGUAAUGGAGGAGAAGAUCCCCUCCCCCAAAGUCAUUACAGUGUACAGAAAUUGGAGCAUAGUGAGUCUUUAAAAAGACACUUUCAAUAUUUUAUUGUUUAUGCUUGAAAAUAAAUAAAAACUCUCAUCUUCUUCAUAAAAGUUACUAAAUGUAAAGAUUUUCAAACUUUGGCUGAUAGAAAAGAUAUAAUGAUUAUCUGUGUACAUAUAUACAUACAUACAUAUAAUUAUAUACAUAUAUUUAUACAUAUUUACUCGUCUUUUAAUGAACCAGGUUCAGAAUCUCAGCAGAAGGAAGACCGAACUUUUUAACUGGUACAGUCUCAGAUUAUACACAAAGAAUGAAAAGCAAGAUGGUGCAGUGGAAAACUUCCAGGGUGCAAAAUUCAAAGAACUUGUUUUCUGUUGAUCUGGGGUUCCAACUCUAAAAACUUGAGAGGAUCUAAUCAGUGUCUGCUGGACAGGGGCUAUGAUCACAGGCAAUUAACUAAACUGAGGGCUCUACAUAAAGAACAUCACUCUAAGGAUGUCAUCAGAUGAAGGACAAUACAGGACCAAACUGGAAUUACAGACAAAUUGUGGAGAAAUCACCUGGAAAACAAUGGAACGAUAGUGAGAGAAGAGUCUUGGAGCCAUUGACAAACAGUGGAAUUGGCUUUCACACAUCCUAACUGGUGAGAAGCAUGGUGGAGUCUUGAGGAGGUGGGUUGGGUCCCCACAGGUGCCAGCCCCAGAGGGAUAUUGAAAUGGCCAGUUGGAUCCCCGUAAGAAGUACAGGGUCUGAGCCAUAAACGGGGACCUCUAGCCAACAGCAUCAGUACCCAAAAAAAGCACACAGACAAAAGACAGCUAAGAAAAGUGUAGUACGGCUCUCUGCCAGACACAGGCGGCUGGAGACGCAGAGACAUUUCAAGGGCCAAAGCAAAAAUGUGCAGUGGGAGCCACCCUCCUUGGUCUCUGGGCAGAGACAGGGGCAGAGUGGGCUAGAGCCUGAGGAAAGAUCAGUGAGGCGAGCUUUUGGGAGAGAACUGAAAUGGUGGCCAGCGGGGCCCUAGUGAUGACUCGCCUCCCACUCUGCAGCUUCCAUCUUGCUCAAGCAUAAUGACCUAACCCUACAACAUGGAGAACUGGAGAAACAACAACAUACAAAGCCCAGAGCAAGUAUAAGAAAGGAAAUAAUCAAGAUCAAAGUAGAAUUGAAUAACAUAGAGACAAAAAGAACAAUUCAAAGGAUAAAUCAAUCUAGGAGCUGGUUCAUUGAAAAGAUAAACAAAAUCGAUAAGCCUUUAAGCAGACUCAUCAAGAAAAAAGGAAGAGGACUCAAAUAAAUAAUAUCAGAUAUGAAAGAGGAUAAAUAAUAACUGAUUACACAGAAAUGCAAAGGAGUGUAAGAAAUUACUAUGAACAAUUAUAUGCCAUGAAAUUUGAAAACCUGAGUGAAAUGGACAAACUUUUAGAAAAAUAUAACCUUCCAAAACUAAAUGAAUAAGAAGCAGAAAGCCUAAACAGACCAGUAGCAAGUGGGGAAAUUGGAGCAGUAAUCAAAAAACUCCUGGCACACAAAAACCCCAGGCUGGAUGGUUUCACAGAAGAAUUUUACAAAACAUUUAAGGAAAUGCUAACCCCUGUCUUACUCAGAAUAUUCCAAAAAAUCUAAGCCAAGGGAAGACACCCAAACUCUUUUUAUAAGGCUAGCAUCAUCCUAAUCCCAAAACCAGAUAAAGACACAGCAAAGAAAUAAAACUACAGGCCCAUAUCGCUGAUGAACUUAGAUGCUAAAAUGCUCAACAAAUUAUUGGCAACCACAUCCAGCAAAACAAAAAAGAUCACCCAUCAUGAUCAAGUGGAAUUCAUCCCAGGGAUGCAGGGAUGGUUCAAUAUAUGCAAAUCAAUAAAUGUAAUACAUAAGGGAAACAAAAGGAAAGACAAAAAUCACAAGAUCAUCUCAAUAGAUGAGAAAAAAGCAUUUGAUAAGGUACCACACCCUAAAGGAUGGUGUGAUCAAAACACUCAGCAAAAUGGGAAUAAAGAGGUCAUACUUCAACAUAAUAAUGGUGUUCAACAUAAUAAAGAUGAAAAACCUACAGCCAACAACGUACUCAACAGGCAAAAACUAAAAGCUUUCCCACUAAGAUUAGGAACUAGACAAGGAUGUCUGCUUUCACCGCUUUCAUUAAACAUAGUAUUGGAAGUCCUAGCCACAGCAGUUAUAUUGGGAAAAAAAAAAGGCAUCCAAAUUAGAAAGUACAAAGUAAAGCUAUCACUGUUUGUGGAUGACAUGAUAGUUUACAUAGAAAACUCUAUAGACUCCACCAAAAAACUACUCAAUAUAAUAAGUGAAUUUGGCAAAACAGCAGGAUACAAAGUCAAUAUCCAGAAAUCAAACACAUUUUUGUACACCAACAAUUAAAUAGCAGAAGCAAAAAUCAGAAAAAAAAUACCAUUUUCUAUAGUAACAAGAAAAAUAAAGUACCUAGGAAUAAAUUUAACCAAGGAUGUGAAAGACCUAUAUGCAGAAAACUCUACAACACUGAAGAAAGAAAUUAAGGAAAACACAAAUAAAGGGAAGCAUAUACCGUGUUCAUGGAUUUGAAGAUUGAAUAUCAUGAAAAUGUCCGUACUACCCAAAGAAAUUUAUAGAUUCAACAUUAUCCAUAUUAAAACACCAAUGAUAUAUUUCAGAGACAUAGAACAGACAUCUCAAAAAUUUAUAUUGGACCAUAAACAACCCUGAACAACCACAACAAUUUUAAGAAAGAAAAACAAAACAGGAGGGAUCACAAUAUCAGACAUAAAACUAUAUUACAAGGCCACUGUAAUCAACACAGUCUGGUACUGGCACAAGAACAGACACAUAGAUCAGUGGAAGAGAAUUGAAAAUCCGGAAUUAAACCCAUGUCUCUAUGGUCAGUUAAUAUUUGACAAAAGGGGCAGAAGCAUAAAUUGGAGUAAAAGUAGCCUCUUCAACAAAUGGUGUUGGGAGAGCUGGACAGCUACAUGCAAAAAAUUGAAAUUCGACCACCAGCUGACACCAUACACAAAAAUAAACUCAAGAUGGAUAAAAGACUUAAAUAUGAAUCAUGACACCAUAAAAGUCCUAGAGGAGAACACAGGCAAGAAACUCAGAUACCCCAUGCAGAAUUAUUUUCACUGAUAUGUCCCCUAAAACAAGGAACAUAAAGGAAAGAAUAAACAAGUGGGACCUCAUUAAAAUAAGAAGCUUCUGCAUGACUAAAGAAAAGAGCAAAAUGAAAAGGGAACCAACAUUAUGGGAAAAUAUAUUUGCCAAUGAUACAUCAUAUAGAGGUUUGAUUGCCAAAAUAUGUAAGAACUCACAUGACUCCACUCCAAGAAAAAAAAACAAUCCAAUUUAAAAAUAGGCAAAGGACCUGGACAGACACUUCUCCAAGGAAGAGAAACAGAGGUCCCAGAGGCAUAUGAAAGGAUGCUCAGUAUCACUAGCCGUCAGAGAAAUGCAAAUUAAAACCACAAUGAGAUACCACUUCACAACUGACAGAACAGCCAUCAUAAACAGAUCAACAAAUAACGAGUGCUGGCGAGGCUGUGAAGAAAAGGGAACCCUACUACACUGUUGGUGGGAAUGCAGACUGGUGCAGUCACUGUGGAAAACAGUUUGGAAUUUCCUCAAAAAGCUAAAAGUGGAACUGCCUUUUGACCCAGCGGUUCCACUGCUGGGAUUAUACCCUAAGAACCCCAAGCCACCAAUUCAGAAGAACCUAUGCACCCCAAUGUUCAUAGCAGCACAAUUUACAAUAGCCCAUUCCUACAAGCAACCUAAAUAAUUAUCAGUAAAUGAGUGGAUCAGAAACUAUGGUACAUUUACAGAAUGGAAUACUAUGCAGCAGAUAGAAAGAAAGAGCUAGUACUCUUCGUAACAGCAUGGAUGGAAUUAGAGAGCAUUAUGCUA